CGCGCAGGCGGUAGUUUAAGUCAGAUGUUAAAGGUCAGGGCCCAACCCUGAUUCGCAUUUGAAACUGAAUUACUAGAGAUAGGGAGAGGAAAGUGGAACUCACAGUGUAGCGGUGAAAUGCGUAGAUAUUGUGAGGAACACCAGUGGCGAAGGCGACUUUCUGGACCUAUUCUGACGCUGAGGCGCGAAAGCAUGGGGAGCGAACAGGAUUAGAUACCCUGGUAGUCC
rnacentral:rRNA from 1 species